rnacentral:rRNA from 1 species
UACGUAGGGUGCAAGCGUUAAUCGGAAUUACUGGGCGUAAAGCGUGCGCAGGCGGUGAUGUAAGACAGAUGUGAAAUCCCCGGGCUCAACCUGGGACCUGCAUUUGUGACUGCAUCGCUAGAGUACGGUAGAGGGGGAUGGAAUUCCGCGUGUAGCAGUGAAAUGCGUAGAUAUGCGGAGGAACACCGAUGGCGAAGGCAAUCCCCUGGGCCUGCACUGACGCUCAUGCACGAAAGCGUGGGGAGCAAACAGG